GGGGAAUAUUGGGCAAUGGACGCAAGUCUGACCCAGCAACGCCGCGUGAAGGAAGAAGGCUUUCGGGUUGUAAACUUCUUUUAAGGGGGAAGAGUAGAAGACGGUACCCCUUGAAUAAGCCACGGCUAACUACGUGCCAGCAGCCGCGGUAAUACGUAGGUGGCAAGCGUUGUCCGGAUUUACUGGGUGUAAAGGGAGCGUAGACGGCACUGCAAGUCUGGAGUGAAAGCCCGGGGCUCAACCCCGGGACUGCUUUGGAAACUGUGGUGCUAGAGUGCAGGAGAGGUAAGUGGAAUUCCUAGUGUAGCGGUGAAAUGCGUAGAUAUUAGGAGGAACACCAGUGGCGAAGGCGGCUUACUGGACUGUAACUGACGUUGAGGCUCGAAAGCGUGGGGAGCAAACA
rnacentral:rRNA from 2 species